rnacentral:rRNA from 1 species
AUUGAACGCUGGCGGAAUGCUUUACACAUGCAAGUCGAACGGCAGCACGGACUUCGGUCUGGUGGCGAGUGGCGCACGGGUGAGUAAUGUAUCGGAACGUGCCCAGUCGUGGGGGAUACCGCAGUGAAAAUUACGCUAAUACAGCAUACGAGAUAUGGAUGAAAGAGGGGGAUAGCAAGACCUCGCGCGAUUGGAGCGGCCGAUAUCAGAUUAGGUAGUUGGUGGGGUAAAGGCCCACCAAGCCAACGAUCUGUAGCGGGUCUGAGAGGACGACCAGCCACACUGGAACUGAGACACGGUCCAGACUCCUACGGGAGGCAGCAGUGGGGAAUUUUGGACAAUGGGCGAAAGCCUGAUCCAGCCAUUCCGCGUGCAGGAUGAAGGCCCUCGGGUUGUAAACUGCUUUUGUACAGAACGAAAAGGUUUCUACUAAUACUAGGAGCUCAUGACGGUACUGUAAGAAUAAGCACCGGCUAACUACGUGCCAGCAGCCGCCGUAA